GUAGGGAAUCUUGCGCAAUGGGCGAAAGCCUGACGCAGCCAUGCCGCGUGAAUGAUGAAGGUCUUAGGAUUGUAAAAUUCUUUCACCGGGGACGAUAAUGACGGUACCCGGAGAAGAAGCCCCGGCUAACUUCGUGCCAGCAGCCGCGGUAAUACGAAGGGGGCUAGCGUUGCUCGGAAUUACUGGGCGUAAAGGGAGCGUAGGCGGAUAGUUUAGUCAGAGGUGAAAGCCCAGGGCUCAACCUUGGAAUUGCCUUUGAUACUGGCUAUCUUGAGUAUGGAAGAGGUAUGUGGAACUCCGAGUGUAGAGGUGAAAUUCGUAGAUAUUCGGAAGAACACCAGUGGCGAAGGCGACAUACUGGUCCAUUACUGACGCUGAGGCGCGAAAGCGUGGGGAGCAAACAGGAUUAGAAACCCGGGUAGUCC
rnacentral:rRNA from 1 species